GAACUGCAUUUUGUGACUGGCGAGCUAGAGUAUGGCAGAGGGGGGGUAGAAUUCCACGUGUAGCAGUGAAGUGCGUAGAGAUGUGGAGGAAUACCGAUGGCGAAAGGCAGCCCCCUGGGCCAAUACUGACGCUCAUGCACGAAAGCGUGGGGAGCAAACAGGAUUAGAUACCCUGGUAGCCCACGCCCUAAACGAUGUCAACUAGUUGUUGGGUCUUCAUUGACUUAGUAACGUAGCUAACGCGUGAAGUUGACCGCCUGGGGAGUACGGUCGCAAGAUUAAAACUCAAAGGAAUUGACGGGGACCCGCACAAGCGGUGGAUGAUGUGGAUUAAUUCGAUGCAACGCGAAAAACCUUACCUACCCUUGACAUGGUCGGAACCCUGCUGAAAGGUGGGGGUGCUCGAAAGAGAACCGAUACACAGGUGCUGCAUGGCUGUCGUCAGCUCGUG
rnacentral:rRNA from 1 species